rfam:Triticum aestivum genome assembly, contig: Triticum_aestivum_CS42_TGACv1_scaffold_252284_3DL
AUUAUACUCCCUCCGUCCGGAAAUACUUGUCGGGGAGAUGGAUGUAUCUAGAUGUAAUUUUUGUUCUAGAUGCAUCCAUUUUCAUCAAUUUCUACAACAAGUAUUUCCGGACGGAGGGAGUACUUG